UACCCUUGACAUGUACGGAAGCCUGGAGAGAUCUGGGUGUGCUCGAAAGAGAGCCGUAACAC
rnacentral:rRNA from 1 species